CAGCCGCCACGGUAAUACGUAGGUGGCAAGCGUCGUCCGGAAUUAUUGGGCGUAAAGGGCUCGCAGGCGGUUUCUUAAGUCUGAUGUGAAAGCCCCCGGCUCAACCGGUGAGGGUCAUUGGGAACUGGGAAACUUGAGUGCAGAAGAGGAGAGUGGAAUUCCACGUGUAGCGGUGAAAUGCGUAGAGAUGUGGAGGAACACCAGUGGCGAAGGCGACUCUCUGGUCUGUAACUGACGCUGAGGAGCGAAAGCGUGGGGAGCGAACAGGAUUAGAUACCCCGGUAGUCCCUGUCUCUUAUAC
rnacentral:rRNA from 1 species